AGAGUACGUCACAUCCUGUAGUGACGGUGAGAGACAGUGAGGAAUCAGUCGUCAGUAUAGUUGACCAGCAGUUAUAUCGUUCACGUUGCAUCAUCAACGUCCACCAGUCAGUCACGAGAGGGAGAAGAUAAAACCAAUUAUACUAAUGGUCCAUAAGAAGAGGUGAAGAAGCCUAUUACGGAUGUGUGUAAAGCGGCGUGUGGUCUAAUGGCAGUGAACAACGAAUCUCUCAGUAACCGUGGUACUAACAUCUGCUAUAGGAAUGACGGGGAAGCAUUUGUCGUCAUGGAAAAUCAACUGUUUACUCCAAACCACAAUGAUGGGCGUGGGUGGUGAAAUUCUCAAAAAAUACUCGAAUAGGUGCAUGGACUGAAAGAAAAGGUUGGGAACCACUGCUCUGUUUCACCCUGUCUCUGUGCACAACAGCCGAGUGGUGUGCAAUCGGCAGUACCUUCGUUGUCAGUUGCUUCCUUUGCAUCGCAGGCAUAUUCCUCAUAGUCUACAGAGAUGUCAGCAGUGGCAUUAUCUUCCUCUUCGUUGGAGGUACCGUACUAGUGUUGAGUGUGUGCGCCUUCUUAGGUAAGUUCCAUUCGGUGGAUAAGCAGCCAGAAGACCGGCCCCCAUCCUACAGAAUCUCGUGGCGACGCUCUUUCCUGCGGCGCAUCCGACAAUCCAACAACCUGCAGGAAAUUGAACAAUUGGACAUUAUUCCUCCGCCGACCUCUAACUCCAGCCGAGGCUUGCCAGACAAUUAUCAAGAACUCCAGCUGUCUGCCAGCAACCUCCAGACGGUUGAUGGAGCUGCUUUGGGGUUUAUGCCUCAUACCAGACAGACACGGUCUCUCAAUAAUCUCAUCGAUCCCCCGAGUUAUCAAGAUGUCCUGACAGCAAUGGACGAAACAGCAAAACGCAAACUGAAGUCUGAGCUGUGUUUACCCUCCUCUCGCUUUUAGUAUCGUUGCCAUCAAGUUUGAGAGGCAAGUGGCAUUUAUUGAUACCUAGACAAGUCGAGCGCACACCCACCGACAUACCAACUCAAGCGGUGUACUAACUUGAGCGUCAGCGCAACCUAUCUUUUUCCCCAAAAAAAUUCCCGAGAUUGAUGGCUCCUGAUUGAAAGUACAGGGUGGGGCGCGGAUACUUCCCGAUUUGAGAAUGAAAUAAAAACCUGUUCACGCUU
rnacentral:misc_RNA from 1 species